GUCCUUUAGAAUUUAAUUUAAGGUUUAACCUGCCCACUGAUUUAUUGAAGGGCCGCAGUAAUUUGACUGUGCAAAGGUAGCAUAAUCAUUAGUUUUUUAAUUAAAAGCUUGUAUGAAGGGUUGGACGAGGUAAAUUCUGUCUCUAAAUAAUUUAUUUUAGAAUUUAAUUUUUAAGUUAAAAAGCUUAGAUAUAUUUAAAAGACGAGAAGACCCUAUAGAUCUUUAUAUUAUAUUUAUUAAUUUGGUUAAAGAUUGAUUUAUUUUUUAAGUAAAUAUAUUAUUUUAUUGGGGUAAUAAAAAGAUUUAAGAAAUUCUUUUUUUAUUUAUACAUUGAUAGAUGAUUUUAUGAUCCAUUAUUAUUGAUUAAAAGAUUAAGUUACCUUAGGGAUAACAGCGUAAUUUUUUUUGAGAGUUCAUAUCGAUAAAAAAGUUUGCGACCUCGAUGUUGGAUUAAAAAUUAUUUUAGGUGUAGAAGCUUGAAAAUUUGGUCUGUUCGACCAUUAAAUUUUUACAUGAUCUGAGUUCAGACCGGUGUAAGCCAGGUCGGUUUCUAUCUUUAAAAAUUAAUAAUAUUUUAGUACGAAAGGACCAAAUAUUAAGUAUAUUUAUAUUUUAAGUUUUGAAUAU
rnacentral:rRNA from 1 species